rnacentral:rRNA from 1 species
AUUGAACGCUGGCGGCAGGCCUAACACAUGCAAGUCGAGCGGAUGAAGGGAGCUUGCUCCUGGAUUCAGCGGCGGACGGGUGAGUAAUGCCUAGGAAUCUGCCUGGUAGUGGGGGAUAACGUCCGGAAACGGGCGCUAAUACCGCAUACGUCCUGAGGGAGAAAGUGGGGGAUCUUCGGACCUCACGCUAUCAGACGAGCCUAGGUCGGAUUAGCUAGUUGGUGGGGUAAAGGCCUACCAAGGCGACGAUCCGUAACUGGUCUGAGAGGAUGAUCAGUCACACUGGAACUGAGACACGGUCCAGACUCCUACGGGAGGCAGCAGUGGGGAAUAUUGGACAAUGGGCGAAAGCCUGAUCCAGCCAUGCCGCGUGUGUGAAGAAGGUCUUCGGAUUGUAAAGCACUUUAAGUUGGGAGGAAGGGCAGUAAGUUAAUACCUUGCUGUUUUGACGUUACCAGCAGAAUAAGCACCGGCUAACUUCGUG